rnacentral:rRNA from 1 species
CACGUAGGGUGCGAGCGUUGUCCGGAAUUAUUGGGCGUAAAGAGCUUGUAGGCGGUCUGUCGCGUCUGCUGUGAAAAUCCGGGGCUCAACCCCGGACUUGCAGUGGGUACGGGCAGACUAGAGUGUGGUAGGGGAGACUGGAAUUCCUGGUGUAGCGGUGAAAAUGCGCAGAUAUCAGGAGGAACACCGAUUGCGAAGGCAGCUCGCUGGAACGUUACUGACGC